rnacentral:lncRNA from 1 species
GCGUGGCUGACUUUCAUCAGGGACAGACAACACAGCCCAAUGAGGGUGAUGGAAACGUUUCAAGGGAUCCCUUCCAAAGUCUUGCAUUAUCUUUUUUUUCUCCUUCUUCUUCUUUAUUUCGUCCCAAUUUGCAGGUGCAAAAAUCCCAUUUGUAAUUCUUUAAUUCCAAGGGUGAUGAGUGUCUUGGGGUCUCAGAAUUCGGCACAAACAGCCAGCUGGGAUGUGAUAGUCCACGCAUGAGUGGUGGCAGGUGCAAAAGGACAGGCAGCACAAGGUUGGGCCCCCUCUCCUUGUCCCUCUUUGCCUCUUCUGGAUGGGUAUGUGAGUACCGGAGCUGAGUUAGACAUCUCCAAAGCUGCGCUGCUGUACACCAGGAAAAGGACCUAGUACCAACCCAUGUUUCCAGGAGUCUUAUUUGGCUUCCUUUAUUCAAGAAGGGCUGAGUGCACUCUCUGUUUGUUUUGUGCUGUGCCUGUUGGGCACAUUGCUCGCUAUCGCUCUGCUCUUAAUAGACGAUCUUUUCACGGAGGUUGAGAACAUCUAUAUUUAGAAAACAAUACAAGAUGUACAAGAUGGAAAAUUUAGAGAAAAGCAGGAGCUCACUGAAAAAAAGAGGAGGGGGUGGCAAGGAAAUGAGCACAGACCCUGUUCACCACAGGCGCCAUCCCUGGCAUCCAGGCUCGAUUGCUCUUCCUUGGAAAGUGGAGUCAUUGUGGAUCUGAGAAAAUACACCACGGCCAAGGAAAACAUGGAUACAGUACAGGAAUCCAGGCAACGACAGAUGGUUGUAUCAUCCAGGAAAAGCCUGUCCACGUGGCUCCAAAGGUCCCAUAUAUUCUCUUUGUUAGGGCUUGGUCAGUAUAUGGCGAUCCAUUAAGGGCAGUGGCUUCUUUCUGGACAAGGAGUGGUUUAUUUCUUUGCGGUUUCUGGAAGUUCAGGAUUGGGGAUUCUUACACUGAAAUGUCUCCCAACAGGAUCUGGUUUAAGGUCUCUCAGAAAAGGACGCUUUGCAAAGAUCAGUGGGCAAAACACUCAGAUUGUUGUUGUGUUUUGGUUUGGUUUUUUGAGACAGGGUUUCACUGUGUAGCCAUUUAUAUUCUGGAACUCGCUCUGUAGAUCGGGCUGGCCUUGAACUCAGAAAAUCCACCUGCCUCUGCCUCCCAAGUGCUGGGAUUAAAGGCAUGUGCCACCACUGCCCAGCUUAUUUUUGUUUUGUUUUGUUUUGUUUUGUUUUGUUUUUCUUAAUGGAAAAAAAAAGGAAGGUGGGGAGUUUGGAGGCUGGAGAGGACAUUGCUAAGUCUACAGCCUUGGCCUGUGGAACCGUUAAGAUUGUCCUCAUUGAUUAUCUUAAACCUUAAGUCUGUUUGAUUGUCUCUGGGCUUAGGAUAUGCCCCAUAUCCCUUGGUUAUUUCCACAUGGUCUCUUUAAUGCUGUAUAAGAUACUGUACUCUUUUAUGUUUAUAUAUGGAUACAUUUACUUAUUUUAUAGUAUACCUGGCAUAGAAACAUACCUGAUUGGAUUAACAAAUAUAUAUUAGUUGCCAUAGCUACUUGUUUUUAUUAAUAGUAGAUAUGCACAGGCACUAUCUUUGAUAUUAAAAAUACAAUGAAACUAAGAGUGGUGGUGCAUGCCUUCCCUCUGAGGGCCAAGACCAGAAGACCACUAAGCCAAGGUCAGCAUGGGCCAUACAGUGAGUUUAAAGACAUCCUGGGAUGGGGAACAAGACCCUAUCUCUCUUUCUUCCUAUGAAUCUAUUUGGCAAAAACCACACAGAUCCAGUUUACACACAGAUGACUUCAUUCACAAGUUCAAGGCCACCCUGGGAAUAUGACUCAGUGGUAUAGACUCUGUGCUCGGUAUGUGCAAGGUCUUGGGGUUCAGCUCUUAGCUUUAUUACACACACACACACACACACACACACACACAGAGAGAGAGAGAGAGAGAGAGAGAGAGAGAGAGAGAGAGAUACACAGGUACACACAAUUCAAGGCCCAUGAUCAUUUUAGAUGCUAGGAUCUAAAGAGAUACAAUUCAUAAUGAAAGAGUUCCAAUAACGUUGCUGCUGCCUGGCUCACCUCACCUCAAGCAGAACCCAUCCUGAGCAUCAAACUCUGGUUCUGUGAAUAAGAAAGUAACCCUGAUGUCUAACCCUCCAAGGGACUGAACUCGCCCAGUUGCCAGUGAACUGCUUUGAGCUCUAGGUGAGAAGUCUUGAACUUAACUCUUUCUUCACUGUUUCUCUUUAGUGGUCUGGCUUUCCUGGGGAAAGGAAGUGGGCAGAACCUCAGAGUCUACAGAAAAU